AAGUGGGGAUGACGUCAAGUCCUCAUGGCCCUUACAGGCUGGGCUACACACGUGCUACAAUGGCAUCUACAGUGGGCAGCUAUUCCGCAAGGAUGCGCUAAUCUCCAAAAGAUGUCUCAGUUCGGAUUGUCCUCUGCAACUCGAGGGCAUGAAGGCGGAAUCGCUAGUAAUCGCGGAUCAGCAUGCCGCGGUGAAUACGUUCCCAGGCCUU
rnacentral:rRNA from 1 species